GAUAAACGCUGGCGGCGUGCAUAACACAUGCAAGUCGAACGAAGUGGCGAACGGGUGAGUAACACGUGAGUAACCUGCCUUAGACAAGGGGAUAGCCUUGGGAAACCGAGAAUAAUACCCUAUAGUCUAAGAUGGACUUGCGUCUGAUUAGCUAGUUGGUGAGAUAACAGCCCACCAAGGCGACGAUCAGUAGCCGGCUUGAGAGAGUGUACGGCCACAUUGGGACUGAGACACGGCCCAAACUCUACGGGAGGCAGCAGUGGGGAAUUUUGCACAAUGGGGGAAACCCUGAUGCAGCGACGCCGCGUGAUUUAGAAGGCCUUCGGGUUGUAAAAAUCUUUUAUAUGGGAAGCAGUACCAUAAGAAUAAGGUCCGGCUAAAUACGUGCCAGCAGCCGCGGUAAUAC
rnacentral:rRNA from 1 species